rnacentral:lncRNA from 1 species
CAGGAUCCUACCAAUAAAAUCAGUCUUCAUUUAAUUUUCACAUCUUCCUAUUCAAUGGUUUGCAGUUUGUUCCUGAUUUCAUGAAGAACUUCAGCAUCCUGACUUAUUGGAUGCUUUCCAACUGGAGGAUGCCGGUUUCAUUCCUUCUAACAACACUGAUUGUUACCUGGAAAAUACAAAAUGGAAAAAAAUCUCAGGGUCAAUAGAGAAUAAUCUGGACACUAAUUGCUCCAUGAAGAAAUAUCUGAGUGGGGUUGUUCAUUCAUGUGAGUAUUUUGGAAGACAAAAAAAUGAAAUUUCAGUUUGAGAGGAGAGAAAUUUGAAAGCCAAACUAACUGAAGUACACAAAUGACAAUCAACAAUUUGUGAAUCACCCACU